rnacentral:rRNA from 1 species
GACGAACGCUGGCGGCGUGCUUAACACAUGCAAGUCGAACGAAGUGGGGAAGGGGUGAGUAACGCGUAAUCAACCUGCCUAUCGGGGGGUGACAACAGGAGGAAACGACUGCUAAUACCGAAUACGUAAGCAGGGGAUUGUGUCUGUUUUGCUAGUUGGCGGGGGAACGGCCCACCACGGCGAAGAUCAGUAGCCUGUCUGAGAGGGUGGACCGCCCAAUUGGGAAUUGGAAACGGCCCAGACUUCUACGGGAGGCAGCAGUGGGGGAUCUUCCGCAAUGGAGGAAAGUCUGACGGAGCAACGCCGCGUGAGAGAUGACGGGCUUCGGGUUGGAAAGCUCUGUUAAUCGGGACGCGGUACCGGAAUAAGAAGCCACGGCUAACUACGUGCCAGCAGCCGCGGUAAUUC